UACAGAGGGUGCAACCGUUGCUCGGAAUCAUUGGGCGUAAAGCGCACGUAGGCGGCCUAGCAAGUAGGGAGUGAAAGCCCUCGGCUUAACCGAGGAAGUGCUUUCUAAACUACUAGGCUUGAAUACUGGAGAGGGUCGCGGAAUUCCCGGUGUAGAGGUGAAAUUCGUAGAUAUCGGGAGGAAUACCAGUGGCGAAGGCGGCGACCUGGGCCAAUACUGACGCUGAGGUGCGAAAGCGUGGGGAGCAAACAGG
rnacentral:rRNA from 1 species